rnacentral:rRNA from 1 species
UACGUAGGGGGCAAGCGUUGUCCGGAUUCAUUGGGCGUAAAGAGCGUGUAGGCGGCCAGGUAGGUCGGUUGUGAAAACUGGAGGCUCAACCUUCAGAGGUCGACCGAAACCAUCUGGCUAGAGUCCGGGAGAGGAGAGUGGAAUUCCCGGUGUAGCGGUGAAAUGCGCAGAUAUCAGGAGGAACACCGGUGGCGAAGGCGGUUCUCUGGGCCUUACCCGACGCUGAGGAGCGAAAGCGUGGGGAGCGAACAGG